CCUACGGGUGGCUGCAGUGGGGAAUAUUGGACAAUGGGGGGAACCCUGAUCCAGCCAUGCCGCGUGUGUGAAGAAGGCCCUCGGGUUGUAAAGCACUUUCAGUGAGGAAGAACGCCUGGUGGUUAAUACCCAUCAGGAAAGACAUCACUCACAGAAGAAGCACCGGCUAACUCCGUGCCAGCAGCCACGGUAAUACGGAGGGUGCGAGCGUUAAUCGGAAUUACUGGGCGUAAAGCGCGCGUAGGUGGCUUGAUAAGCCGGUUGUGAAAGCCCCGGGCUCAACCUGGGAACGGCAUCCGGAACUGUCAAGCUAGAGUGCAGGAGAGGAAGGUAGAAUUCCCGGUGUAGCGGUGAAAUGCGUAGAGAUCGGGAGGAAUACCAGUGGCGAAGGCGGCCUUCUGGACUGACACUGACACUGAGGUGCGAAAGCGUGGGUAGCAAACAGGAUUAGAUACCCCAGUAGUC
rnacentral:rRNA from 1 species